AACAGAGUAGGGCCAAUGCGUUAAGUGCUGUGAAAUGGGAUGUCGUUCACAGACGAAACUUGAGUUUUUCAAGUGCGGUAGAGGCUUGCAUCCGCUGAU
rfam:Lactococcus garvieae Lg2 DNA, complete genome.